GACGAACGCUGGCGGCGUGCUUAACACAUGCCAGUCGAACGGUGAAGCGCUUGCCUUUUUGGUGGGUGUGGAUGAGUGGCGAACGGGUGAGUAACACGUGAGUAACCUGCCCUCUUCUUCUGGAUAACCUCAUGAAAGUGGGGCUAAUACGGGGUAUUCCGGGUCUGUCGCAUGGCGGGUUUGGGAAAGAUUGCGCCUUUGGGUGUUUUCGGUGGGGGAUGGGCUCGCGGCCUAUCAGCUUGUUGGUGGGGUGAUGGCCUACCAAGGCGGUGACGGGUAGCCGGCCUGAGAGGGUGGACGGCCACACUGGGACUGAGACACGGCCCAGACUCCUGCGGGAGGCAGCAGUGGGGAAUAUUGCACAAUGGGCGCAAGCCUGAUGCAGCGACGCCGCGUGAGGGAUGGAGGCCUUCGGGUGGUGAACCUCUUUCGCCAGUGAAGCAGGCCUGCUCCUGUGUGGGUGGGUUGACGGUAGCUGGAUAAGAAGCGCCGGCUAACUACGUG
rnacentral:rRNA from 1 species